rnacentral:rRNA from 1 species
UACGAAGGGAGCGAGCGUUGUUCGGAAUCACUGGGCUUAAAGCGUGCGUAGGUGGAUUGGUAAGUAAGGAGUGAAAUCCCAGGGCUUAACCCUGGAACUGCUCUUUAGACUGCCUGUCUGGAAUUCGGAAGAGGUUGGUGGAACUCCCAGUGUAGAGGUGGAAUGCGUAGAGAUCGGGAAGAACAUCAGUGGCGAAGGCGGCCUGCUGGGCUGUUGCUGACGCUGAGGCGCGACAGCGUGGGGAGCAAACAGG